rnacentral:rRNA from 1 species
GUGCCAGCAGCCGCGGUAAUACGGAGGGUGCAAGCGUUAUCCGGAUUCACUGGGUUUAAAGGGUGCGUAGGUGGGCUAGUAAGUCCGUGGUGAAAUCUCUGAGCUUAACUCGGAAACUGCCGUGGAUACUAUUAGUCUUGAAUCUCGUGGAGGUAAGCGGAAUAUGUCAUGUAGCGGUGAAAUGCUUAGAUAUGACAUAGAACACCGAUAGCGAAGGCAGCUUGCUACACGAGUAUUGACACUGAGGCACGAAAGCGUGGGGAUCAAACAGGAUUAGAUACCCCAGUAGUCC